GACGAACGCUGGCGGCGUGCCUAAUACAUGCAAGUCGAGCGCAGAAGGUAGGUCCUUGUACCAACUGGGUGAGCAGCGGACGGGUGAGUAACGCGUGGGGAAUCUGCCUAUGAGCGGGGGACAACAUCGGGAAACGAAUGCUAAUACCGCAUAAAAACUUUAAACACAAGGUUCAAGAGUGAAAGAUGCAAUUGCAUCACUCAAAGAUGAUCCCGCGUUGUAUUAGCUAGUUGGGGAGGUCAAGGGCCACCCAGGCGAUGAUACAUAGCCGACCUGAGAGGGGGGUCGGCCCCAUUGGGACUGGGACACGGCCCCAACUCCUUCGGGAGGCCGCCGGAGGGAAUCUUCGGCAAUGGACGAAAGUCUGGCCGGGCCACGCCGCGUGAGUGAAGAAGGUUUUCGGAUCGUAAAACCCUGUUGGUAGAGAAGAACGUUGGUGAGAGUGGAAAGCUCACCACGUGACGGUACCUACCCAGAAAGGGACGGCUAACUACGUG
rnacentral:rRNA from 1 species